rnacentral:rRNA from 1 species
GACGAACGCUGGCGGCGUGCCUAAUACAUGCAAGUAGAACGCUGAAGCUUGGUGCUUGCACCGAGCGGAUGAGUUGCGAACGGGUGAGUAACGCGUAGGUAACCUGCCUGGUAGCGGGGGAUAACUAUUGGAAACGAUAGCUAAUACCGCAUAAGAGUAGAUGUUGCAUGACAUUUGCUUAAAAGGUGCAAUUGCAUCACUACCAGAUGGACCUGCGUUGUAUUAGCUAGUUGGUGAGGUAACGGCUCACCGAGGCAACGAUACAUAGCCGACCUGAGAGGGUGAUCGGCCACACUGGGACUGAGACACGGCCCAGACUCCUACGGGAGGCAGCAGUAGGGAAUCUUCGGCAAUGGACGGAAGUCUGACCGAGCAACGCCGCGUGAGUGAAGAAGGUUUUCGGAUCGUAAAGCUCUGUUGUAAGAGAAGAACGAGUGUGAGAGUGGAAAGUUCACACUGUGACGGUAUCUUACCAGAAAGGGACGGCUAACUACGUG